rnacentral:rRNA from 1 species
UACGUAGGGUGCAAGCGUUGUCCGGAAUUAUUGGGCGUAAAGAGCUCGUAGGCGGUCUGUCGCGUCUGCUGUGAAAACUCAGGGCUUAACCCUGAGCUUGCAGUGGGUACGGGCAGACUAGAGUGCGGUAGGGGAGACUGGAAUUCCUGGUGUAGCGGUGAAAUGCGCAGAUAUCAGGAGGAACACCGGUGGCGAAGGCGGGUCUCUGGGCCGAUAACUGACG